rnacentral:rRNA from 1 species
GACGAACGCUGGCGGCGUGCCUAAUACAUGCAAGUAGAACGCUGAAGAGAGGAGCUUGCUCUUCUUGGAUGAGUUGCGAACGGGUGAGUAACGCGUAGGUAACCUGCCUUGUAGCGGGGGAUAACUAUUGGAAACGAUAGCUAAUACCGCAUAACAAUGGAUGACACAUGUCAUUUAUUUGAAAGGGGCAAUUGCUCCACUACAAGAUGGACCUGCGUUGUAUUAGCUAGUAGGUGAGGUAAUGGCUCACCUAGGCGACGAUACAUAGCCGACCUGAGAGGGUGAUCGGCCACACUGGGACUGAGACACGGCCCAGACUCCUACGGGAGGCAGCAGUAGGGAAUCUUCGGCAGUGGGGGCAACCCUGACCGAGCAACGCCGCGUGAGUGAAGAAGGUUUUCGGAUCGUAAAGCUCUGUUGUAAGUCAAGAACGGGUGUGAGAGUGGAAAGUUCACACUGUGACGGUAGCUUACCAGAAAGGGACGGCUAACUACGUG